AUUGAACGCUGGCGGCAGGCCUAACACAUGCAAGUCGAAUGGUAACAGGAAACAGCUUGCUGUUUCGCUGACGAGUGGCGGACGGGUGAGUAAUGUCUGGGAAACUGCCUGAUGGAGGGGGUUAACUACUGGAAACGGUAGCUAAUACCGCAUAACGUCGCAAGCCCAAAGAGGGGGACCUUCGGGCCUCUUGCCAUCAGAUGUUCCCAGAUGGGAUUAGCUAGUAGGUGGGGUAACGGCUCACCUAGGCGACGAUCCCUAGCUGGUCUGAGAGGAUGACCAGCCACACUGGAACUGAGACACGGUCCAGACUCCUACGGGAGGCAGCAGUGGGGAAUAUUGCACAAUGGGCGAAAGCCUGAUGCAGCCAUGCCGCGUGUAUGAAGAAGGCCUUCGGGUUGUAAAGUACUUUCAGCGGGGAGGAAGGGAGUAAAGUUAAUACCUUUGCUCAUUGACGUUACCCAAAGAAGAAGCACCGGCUAACUCCGUG
rnacentral:rRNA from 1 species